rnacentral:rRNA from 1 species
GACGAACGCUGGCGGCGUGCUUAACACAUGCAAGUCGAACGGACGGACGAUAAGCUUGUUUCUCUGAUGGUAGCGGCGGACGGGGGAGAAACACGCGUAUAACACCCCUAUCCUUCUGCUAUAUCUUCGGGAAAACGGAUCUCAUACCGGAGAAUAUCUUGAUCCGUAUGGUUAAAAAGCUAAGGACGGUUUUGCUGUCAGUUAUAGAUGGAUCCGCGCUGCAUUAGCUACUUGGUACGGUUACGGCUUACCAAGGCAACGAUGCAUGGCCGAGCUGAGCGGGUGAUCGGCCACACUAGAACUGAACCGCGGUCCAGACUACUACGGGAGGCAGCAGAAGGGAAUGGUACGCAAUGGGCGGAAGCCUGACGGAGCGACGCGACGUGGGUGAUGAAAGUCUUCGGUUCGGAAAACUCUGUUAUUAGGGAAGAACAUAUGUGUAAGUAACUGUGCACAUCUUGACGGUACCUAAUCAAGAAGCCACGGCUAACUACGUG